GACGAACGCUGGCGGCGUGCUUAACACAUGCAAGUCGAACGAAGCGCGAUGGAAGCUUGCUUCUAUCAAUCUUAGUGGCGAACGGGUGAGUAACGCGUAAUCAACCUGCCCUUCAGAGGGGGACAACAGUUGGAAACGACUGCUAAUACCGCAUACGAUCUAAUCUCGGCAUCGAGGAUAGAUGAAAGGUGGCCCCUACAUGUAAGCUAUCACUGAAGGAGGGGAUUGCGUCUGAUUAGCUAGGUGGAGGGGUAAGGGCCCACCAAGGCGAUGAUCAGUAGCCGGUCUGAGAGGAUGAACGGCCACAUUGGGACUGAGACACGGCCCAGACUCCUACGGGAGGCAGCAGGGGGGAAUCUUCCGCAAUGGACGAAAGUCUGACGGAGCAACGCCGCGGGAGUGAUGACGGCCUUCGGGUUGUAAAGCUCUGUUAAUCGGGACGAAAGGCCUUCUUGCGAAUAGUGAGAAGGAUUGACGGUACCGGAAGAGAAAGCCACGGCUAACUACGUG
rnacentral:rRNA from 1 species